rnacentral:lncRNA from 1 species
CUAUGGCUGCUUUCAUAUCAGAUUGUACCUGACUCAUUAUAUUUGUCUCCAACUCCUUCAAAUGACAGGAGUCUAAUGAAUCAAUAGGAGAGGUCCUGUGGAACUGAAUUCACUUAUAAACCCAAAGGAAGAACUUGUUGAUUGAAGAACUGAGAAACAUUGCGAUAAGUAACUUCUCAUUGAACCAAUUUAGAUAUGAGUGAAAUUUAAGAAUUGUUCACCAACUCAUCAUCAUUUUACCUUCUACUGUAAAAAUUAUCACUGCAUCUCUUUUAUGAAAAGAAGUCCCUGUUCAUUUUUUUAACUCAAUCAAGGUCUUUCUAUGAAAAAUUGGCUUGUGCCUUAAAGAAUUUGUGUAAAGGGAAGAGUAAAGAGGAGAGAUUCUGCACAUCUUCAUUUGAUAAGUUAGAAGACUUUCCAACAUACUCUUGAGAAACAGAGGAAGGAGUUGCAAUAGAGAAAGAAGACACUGAAGAGAUUUAUUGCUUCCAAAGGCAUAUCAGAGAAUAGCUAUAAGAAGUUGAGGAAAAUUCCAAGAGAAUAUUUUCCCUUACCACAGCUUCCCCUCCUGGUCCCUGCCUAUAUAUUGGUACUACAAUAUAAUCUACUCUUUACCCAACUGUUUUCAAUAAACUGAAUUUUGACUCAACCA